rnacentral:misc_RNA from 1 species
AAAAAAAAAGGCGAACGUUUGGGCUUCGGCCUGAUUUAGUAGUCUUUUUUCUUUUAAACCCAUUCCUUAAUACUGAAUAUACUGUGGGGACGAAAGUCUCUGCUUUUAACUAGAUAGCAACUUUCAGCAGUGGAUGUCUAGGCUCGCACAUCGAUGAAGAACGCUGCGAACUGCGAUACGUAAUGCGAAUUGCAGGAUUCAGUGAGUCAUCGAAAUUUUGAACGCAUAUUGCACUUCCGGGUUAGUCCUGGAAGUAUGCCUGUAUCAGUGUCCGUACAUUAAACUUGACUUUCUUCCUUCCGUGUAGUCGGUGGAGGAGAUGUCAGAUGUGAAGUGUCUUGCGAUUGGUCUUCGGACCGGCUGCGAGUCCUUUUAAAUGUACUAAACUGAACUUCUCUUUGCUCGAAAAGUGGUGGCGUUGCUGGUUGUGAAGGCUGCUAUUGUGGCAAAUUGGCGACUGGUUUGUCUGCUGCGGCAUUAAUGGAAGAGUGUUCGAUUCGUGGUAUGGUUGGCUUCGGCUGAACAAUGCACUUAUUGGACGUUUUUCCUGCUGUGGCGUGAUGGACUGGUGAACCAUAGCUCGGUGGCUUGGCUUUUGAAUUGGCUUUGCUGUUGCGAAGUAGGGUGGCAGCUUCGGUUGUCGAYGGUCGAUCCAUUUGGGAACUUAAUGUGUACUUCGGUAUGCAUCUCAAUYGGACCUGAUAU